rnacentral:lncRNA from 1 species
CAGAAAUCGUCAACAAUCCAUAGAGAAUUUCAACUUUUUUUCGGUACUGAACCAAUUAUUAAAAUUAAAAUUACAUUAUUGAAAAAAUACCAAAAAUAAUGAAUUGUCAUAUCUUCCCAAAUUUGAUUCGCCCACAUUGGCAAGCCCCAAUCUACAGGAUUGCUUGGGGGAAUUCGAUAGAUACAAUGAAUAAAUAAGUGCAAGGCUCAACUCCAAAUGCACAGCUUUAGCCAUAAUAUAACCAAUCAGAUGCAAAUGAAUCAGCCAAUCUUGGAUAAGAUUAUGAGUUGCAUAUAUUUUUUUGACAACUUCAAGCAUAAUUUAAAGAAUCAGAAACCUGACCACCGUAAAUAUAUUUUCACAGGGAGAGGGGGUCUGGAGGAGGGCUGGAGGAGGCGAGAAAUAGAGAGAGAGAGAGAGAGAGAGAGAGAGAGAGAGGAG